GCAUCCACUGAUACCAUAUGUGGAGAUUGUCCUGAUAAAACCUUUUCAGAUGGCCUGUCUACAAACUGCAAACCACACAGAGAUUGCAGCUCCGAGGGACUUCGUGAAUUGAAACCUGGCAGCCAUUCUUCUGAUUCUGAAUGUGGAGAUAAAUUUCAGACUGGUCCCAUAUUGGGGAUUGUUGCAGCUGUUACUGUAUUAGUUGCAGCAGUAAUAGGACUCGUAAUAUUUAUAAAAGGGAGAAGGUAAUCGGACAGGCAACGUGUUCCUGUCUGGGCCUGGACAGUGAGAGACAGAGCACAGUGAGAGCAGGUGUGAAAGCUUUCUUCCAGGUAUAUCUCCUGCUGCGAAGAAAUUUCCCUGGCCAAGAAAAGAUGCACAGCACAGCCAUCAAUCCCCAUCCCAUCACCCACUCUGGCCAAAGUUGGGUGUGCCUUCUAGCAGUCUGGAUCAGAGGACCCUCGAGAACCUGUCAAACAACUAAUGUUUCAUCUUCCUCUUGGCCAGAUGGGGGCCCCUGGGAAAUCUUCCAUAAGACUCCGGAUGGCCUUUAUCAGUAUAAACUUUUACCAUUCAGAUUACAUGGGGUGCUGGCCACCUUCCAAAAGAUGAUAGAUCAGCUGCUGCAAAGCCCAUAUUGGAAAUACACCUCUGCCUCUGUGGAAGAUGAUGUCAUUCACUCAGACUCAUGGGCCAGCCAUCUGGAGAAGGUACGCAAUGUGUUGUGUAUGUUUCUGCAGGCUGGAUUGACAGUUUACCCCAAGGAGUGCUGUCUCAGACAACAAGCAGCUCUCUGCUUUGGAUAUUUCACUGGCUGGGAGGAGGUGGUACAGAACUGGCCCCAAACUGGCAGUAAAAGUCAGGUGAUACCAGUCCUCGGUCUGGCAAGUUAUAUAUGGCAUGGACAGUUUAAACCCCACUUUGCCUCUAUAGCUAACCCUUUGACAAAACAUAUUUGGAAGAACACCACUGAAAAACAGUUUUUGACAACUGAAACUGAGCCUACA